AAGAGAGACCACUAGACUGCUAAUCCUGUACACCGGAACUAACCAUUUCGGCUCCC
rnacentral:tRNA from 1 species